rnacentral:rRNA from 1 species
UACAGAGACUGCGAGCGUUAUUCGGAUUCACUGGGCGUAAAGGGUGCGCAGGCGGCCGUGUGUGUGAGGCGUGAAAGCCCGGGGCUUAACCCCGGAAUUGCACCUCAAACUAUACGGCUAGAGCAUUGGAGAGGGUAGCAGAAUUCAUGGUGUAGCAGUGAAAUGCGUAGAUAUCAUGAGGAAUACCAGAGGCGAAGGCGGCUACCUGGACAAUUGCUGACGCUCAGGCACGAAAGCGUGGGGAGCAAAAGGG